UGGCUCAGGACGAACGCUGGCGGCGUGCCUAAUACAUGCAAGUAGAACGCUGAAGAGAGGAGCUUGCUCUUCUUGGAUGAGUUGCGAACGGGUGAGUAACGCGUAGGUAACCUGCCUUGUAGCGGGGGAUAACUAUUGGAAACGAUAGCUAAUACCGCAUAACAAUGGAUGACACAUGUCAUUUAUUUGAAAGGGGCAAUUGCUCCACUACAAGAUGGACCUGCGUUGUAUUAGCUAGUAGGUGAGGUAACGGCUCACCUAGGCGACGAUACAUAGCCGACCUGAGAGGGUGAUCGGCCACACUGGGACUGAGACACGGCCCAGACUCCUACGGGAGGCAGCAGUAGGGAAUCUUCGGCAAUGGGGGCAACCCUGACCGAGCAACGCCGCGUGAGUGAAGAAGGUUUUCGGAUCGUAAAGCUCUGUUGUAAGUCAAGAACGAGUGUGAGAGUGGAAAGUUCACACUGUGACGGUAGCUUACCAGAAAGGGACGGCUAACUACGUGCCAGCAGCCGCGGUAAUACGUAGGUCCCGAGCGUUGUCCGGAUUUAUUGGGCGUAAAGCGAGCGCAGGCGGUUUGAUAAGUCUGAAGUUAAAGGCUGUGGCUCAACCAUAGUUCGCUUUGGAAACUGUCAAACUUGAGUGCAGAAGGGGAGAGUGGAAUUCCAUGUGUAGCGGUGAAAUGCGUAGAUAUAUGGAGGAACACCGGUGGCGAAAGCGGCUCUCUGGUCUGUAACUGACGCUGAGGCUCGAAAGCGUGGGGAGCGAACAGGAUUAGAUACCCUGGUAGUCCACGCCGUAAACGAUGAGUGCUAGGUGUUGGAUCCUUUCCGGGAUUCAGUGCCGCAGCUAACGCAUUAAGCACUCCGCCUGGGGAGUACGACCGCAAGGUUGAAACUCAAAGGAAUUGACGGGGGCCCGCACAAGCGGUGGAGCAUGUGGUUUAAUUCGAAGCAACGCGAAGAACCUUACCAGGUCUUGACAUCCCGAUGCUAUUUCUAGAGAUAGAAAGUUACUUCGGUACAUCGGUGACAGGUGGUGCAUGGUUGUCGUCAGCUCGUGUCGUGAGAUGUUGGGUUAAGUCCCGCAACGAGCGCAACCCCUAUUGUUAGUUGCCAUCAUUCAGUUGGGCACUCUAGCGAGACUGCCGGUAAUAAACCGGAGGAAGGUGGGGAUGACGUCAAAUCAUCAUGCCCCUUAUGACCUGGGCUACACACGUGCUACAAUGGUUGGUACAACGAGUUGCGAGUCGGUGACGGCAAGCUAAUCUCUUAAAGCCAAUCUCAGUUCGGAUUGUAGGCUGCAACUCGCCUACAUGAAGUCGGAAUCGCUAGUAAUCGCGGAUCAGCACGCCGCGGUGAAUACGUUCCCGGGCCUUGUACACACCGCCCGUCACACCACGAGAGUUUGUAACACCCGAAGUCGGUGAGGUAACCUUUUGGAGCCAGCCGCCUAAGGUGGGAUAGAUGAUUGGGGUGAAGUCGUAACAAGGUAACC
rnacentral:rRNA from 1 species